UACGUAGGGGGCGAGCGUUGUCCGGAUUUAUUGGGCGUAAAGAGCGUGUAGGCGGCCAGGUAGGUCUGCUGUGAAAACUCGAGCUCAACCUCGAGACGCCGAUGGAAACCGUAUGGCUAGAGUCCGGAAGAGGAGAGCGGAAUUCCUGGUGUAGCGGUGAAAUGCGCAGAUAUCAGGAAGAACACCCGUGGCGAAGGCGGCUCUCUGGGACGGUACUGACGCUGAGACGCGAAAGCGUGGGGAGCGAACAGG
rnacentral:rRNA from 1 species